rnacentral:tRNA from 1 species
ACCGGAAUCUCCUAGCCUGGUAGGGAGCAGGCCUGCUAAGUCUGUGACCCUUGUGGUCGCGCGGGUUCAAAUCCCGCCCCCGGCG